UACGAAGGGAGCUAGCGUUGUUCGGAAUCACUGGGCGUAAAGAGCGCGUAGGCGGCUAUGUAAGUCAGAGGUGAAAUCCCAGGGCUCAACCCUGGAACUGCCUUUGAAACUACAUGGCUAGAGUUUGUGAGAGGGUGGUGGAAUUCCUAGUGUAGAGGUGAAAUUCGUAGAUAUUAGGAGGAACACCAGUGGCGAAGGCGGCCACCUGGCACAAUACUGACGCUGAGGUGCGAAAGCGUGGGGAGCAAACAGG
rnacentral:rRNA from 1 species